rnacentral:rRNA from 1 species
GAUGAACGCUAGCGGCAGGCUUAAUACAUGCAAGUCGAGGGGCAGCACGAAUAGCAAUAUUUGGUGGCGACCGGCGCACGGGUGCGUAACACGUAUACAACCUACCUAUAACAGGGGGAUAGCCUUUCGAAAGAGAGAUUAAUACCCCGUAAUAAAUUGAGUGGCAUCACUUGAUUUUGAAAGCUACGGCGGUUAUAGAUGGGUAUGCGUCUGAUUAGCUAGUUGGUGAGGUAACGGCUCACCAAGGCGACGAUCAGUAGGGGAUCUGAGAGGACUAACCCCCACACUGGUACUGAGACACGGACCAGACUCCUACGGGAGCAGCAGUAAGGAUAUUGGUCAAUGGAGGCAACUCUGAACCAGCCAUGCCGCGUGCAGGAUGACGGCCCUAUGGGUUGUAAACUGCUUUUGUACCAGAGAAAACCUACUCACGUGUGAGUAGCUGAUAGUAUGGUAAGAAUAAGCAUCGGCU